GACGAACGCUGGCGGCGUGCUUAACACAUGCAAGUCGAACGGAAAGAGAUGAAAGAGCUUGCUCUUUUAUUAAUUUCAGUGGCAAACGGGUGAGUAACACGUAAACAACCUGCCUUAAGGAUGGGGAUAACAGACGGAAACGACUGCUAAUACCGAAUACGUUCUAAGCAUCGCAUGAUGCAUAGAAGAAAGGGUGGCCUCUACAAGAAAGCUAUCGCCUUAAGAGGGGUUUGCGACUGAUUAGGUAGUUGGUGAGGUAACGGCUCACCAAGCCGACGAUCAGUAGCCGGUCUGAGAGGAUGAACGGCCACACUGGAACUGAGACACGGUCCAGACUCCUACGGGAGGCAGCAGUGGGGAAUCUUCCGCAAUGGACGAAAGUCUGACGGAGCAACGCCGCGUGAACGAAGAAGGUCUUCGGAUUGUAAAGUUCUGUGAUUCGGGACGAAAGGGUUUGUGGUGAAUAAUCAUAGACAUUG
rnacentral:rRNA from 1 species